AACAGAUAAUUGAAUUUAUUGGUUGGCUAUGAGUAGGAAAAUACAUCAGUAAAGAAAAGAGACCCUGUAUAUAAAUAUAAUACUAGCUAGUUACAAUGAAGGUUCCACUGAAAAGAACAGUAAAAGCCCUUGUUACCAUCAGUCCAUAGGUCAUAUUCAGUUUCCCAUUACCCUUAUUAAAGAGCUGCCUAGGCAAAUGGGACAUUCCUUGAGUUUAGUGCAGAUAACGUGCUGGGUUUUGUUACAUGAAUGGUAAACAAAAGUUAGUCCAGUGCAUUACAUAAUAUAAUGUACUGUGAAUAAAGACUAGAUACUCUAUUUUAGACACUAUUUCAAUAGAAUGGUUACUAAAAUUUAUGUAACCGAAGAGAGCAAAGUGAACAUCUUAAAACACUGUUUACAAGUGGGGGAUAAACAAUUGCUAUAAAGGUUCUUUGAAUUCUCUGCAGCAUCUCUGCUGGGUAUUCUUAUUGUUUCAUUAAAAGAACAAAUCUGCUGUAAAUUGUUGUUUUGCCCAGGAUGGUUCUUGUACUUAUAUAGCAUAACCCCCAAACCUUAAAAGUUACUAUGGAAAUUCUGUAAGUUUAAGUAGUAAAAAGUGGAAUACAAAAACUUAAAACUUAUUAUUGAAAACCUGACAUCUUAGAAGAGCUUUGAAAUUUUAAUUUCAACAUUUAGAAGUGCAUUCCACCCAAUUUAAUCAUGUCCUUAGGUUUCAAAGUGCUAACUCAAGUUUUCCUGGUUGUCACUAAAUCAAGUAAAAUAGAAAACACUUCUUGGAGU
rnacentral:lncRNA from 1 species